UACAUUGGAAAGGAAAAGAAGAAUGCAUGAAGAGAGGAGGGAAAAAGAAUGCAAAAGUGAUUCUUGCUGAAAAUGGGUUUGAGGCUGACUAGUGCUUUACUAUCCUCACUCCCAAUAGCUUCACCCUCUUCCUCUUCCACUCUCAGUCUCAAAUACAAAUUCCCAGUUCGAAUUCGCGUUCUCACUCUCAACUGCUUCGCUUCACUCGCAACCCCAAAGGUCCCUCAUCACGAUAACAACCACGACGACUUGUUUGACCCUCUUCCCUCACCCUACAUCGAUAAAGCCAACAACGCCAUCGAGAGAAUCGCUCUUCGCUUGCGCAAUUUAGGGUUGGCUUCCCACCAUCCCGACUCUGCCGGAGACGAUGAUUUCCUGCGCCGAGAAUGGGUUCGCUCCGACGAGAUGCUUUUGCCGUGGGACAAGGACGAGGAGAAGGAGAAGCAAGAGGAAAAGGAGCUGAAGAAGCAGAAGAAGAAGAAGAAGAAGAAGAAGAAGGAGGAGGUUAAGGUGCCGAGUUUGGCAGAAGAAACGCUUGAGGAGCAGGAGCUAACCCGAUUGCGAACGCUCGGAAUGCGUCUUAAGGAGAAGGUCACUGUUCCCAAAGCUGGCCUCACGCAAGCCGUGCUUCACAAGAUUCACCAUCACUGGAGAAGCAACGAGUUGGUCAGGCUCAAAUUUCACGAGCUUCUGGCUCAGAAUAUGAAGUUAGCUCAUCAACUGGUCGAGCGUAGAACGAGAGGGUUAGUUAUAUGGAGGUCAGGGAGUAUUAUGUGGGUGUACCGUGGUAGGGAUUAUCGAGGGCCGACACGACUGAAUGAAAAGGAAGGUGAUGAUUGCCUUUCUGUGCCGGAUGUCUCUGUGCAUAGUAAUGCAAUGUCCUCGUCGCUGGAAGAGAGGGAGACUGGUGUGUGGAAUCAAGAACAAGCUGAGGAGAGCAUGACACCGGAGGAAGCAGAGUUCAAUAGGAUGCUUGAUGGUUUUGGUCCCCGUUUUGUGGAGUGGUGGGGUACUGGAAUUCUUCCUGUUGAUGCUGAUUUACUUCCCCCUACAGUUCCUGGUUACAAGACGCCUCUUAGGCUUCUUCCUGCCGGGGUGCGUCCACGAUUAACUGACGAUGAACUGACAAACAUGCGGAGACAUGCCAAAUCUCUUCCUUGUCACUUUGCCUUGGGGAGAAAUAGAAACCUUCAAGGUCUGGCAUGUGCAAUUCUUAGGCUUUGGGAGAAAAGCUUAGUUGCAAAGCUAGCUGUCAAGCGUGGUAUCGUGAAUACAAACAAUGAACUAAUGGCUCAGGAGCUUAAGAAAUUAACAGGAGGUACCUUGCUGCUAAGGAGUAAAUAUUACAUUGUAAUAUAUCGUGGGAAGGAUUUUGUUCCAACCAGUGUGGCUGCUGUUUUAGCUGAAAGACAGGAAUUGACAAAACAGGUGCAGGAUGCUGAGGAGAAGGUGCGGUGCAGAGCUGUUGAUGUAACUGCAUCAGGGGAGGAUGAAUCAACUGCACAAGCAGGAUCGUUGGCUGAGUUCUAUGAUGCUCAGGCACGUUGGAGAAGGGAUAUAUCUACUGAAGAACAUGAGAGGAUGAUGAAAGAGGUUGCUGAAGCCAAGAAUUUUAAGCUUGUUAAAAAAAUUGAACGUAAACUAGCUGUUGCCCAGGACAAAAGGCUUAGAGCGGAAAAGCUAUUAGCUAAAAUAGAAGCAUCCUUGGUUCCAGCUGGUCCUGAUUACGAUAAGGAAACAAUCACAGAUGAAGAACGUGUUAUGUUCCAUACUGUUGGUUUGAAAAUGAAGGCAUUCUUGCAACUCGGAGUACGUGGUGUUUUUGCUGGGGUUAUUGAGAAUAUGCAUUUGCAUUGGAAACAUCGAGAACUUGUUAAAUUAAUAACAAAACAAAAGACCCUUGCUUUUGUUAAAGACACAGCUAGGUUACUUGAAUACGAGAGUGGUGGAAUACUAAUAGCAAUAGAUAAAGUUCCCAAAGGAUUUUCUCUUAUUUACUAUCGUGGAAAGAAUUACAGGCGACCCAUGACUCUGAGGCCUAGAAAUCUUCUAACAAAGGCAAAGGCAUUGCAGCGUUCAAUAGCCAUGCAACGGCACGAGGCUCUGAGUCAGCAUAUAACUGAAUUGGGGGAAAAAAUAGAAGAAAUGAAAAAUGAAUUUGGUUUGUCUCAAGAUUUAGGGCCUGAAGAUAGGUGGAAUAUAGAGGACCACCACCAAAUAGACCAUAUAUCAGUAUUCACUCAAAGUGAGGAUGAAGGCUGGGACGACGAUGAUAAUAAUGGUGAUUUGGAUGACAAAGAAUACAGUGAUUACAUUGUUGAGGAGUCCGAGUUUUCAAACUGAGAAAAAGAUGGGUUUUCUAUGAAGACAGGUUGGCAUGUUUGCAAUGAAGUCCCUGACUGACAUCUGUCAUUUCACUGCAGCCAUCUGGGGUUAUCAAGAGGAAGAUUUACAGCAGUUUGAAUCGCAUGAGUUGAAGAUCUGGAGUCUCGUUCUGGAAUUUGAGAUGUGUCUACAAAAUCCCUCGCGAAUUCAGUUGAACUUCCACUGCUCUGAGAUAGUAUCGUUUAAGAUGUUGGCUGAAGUUUGAGUAGUAUGGAUAAGCAAUUCCCUACACAAUUUUUUAUUAUAUUCUAACGUUUGUAGAUAUUAGUUAAAAUUUAUUAAAAAUUAUAAAAUUUG